AAUAUCUUAUUCUCCAAACUUUACAAAAAUAUAACACUGUGUGAAUAGCUUGCUAGAGCCCCUCCCAGGAUCUUGGAGGAGGUUUGUGCUAUGGAAGGGGUCCUGAAGCUCAAGCUUCAUUAGUUUCAGGAUUAAAUCUGCCUCCGCAUAGACUUGAUGUGACCUUUAACUGAAUUAAUAUAUGGAAAGCAUUUGGAACAGCCUGACAAGGAACCCCUGAAAUUUCAAACUCCCUACUGCCUCAUUGGACCGAAACAUUAUUAUACGAAUUACCAUUCCUAGAGCAUUGCCUGAAGGAUAUGCCUGAAUACCCUCUGAUCAGAGCUGGCGGACAGAGUCAGGCUGGCAGGUGACAAGAUCCCUCCGGGGGUGCCCCGUUGAGAAGGGCUGUGAGGCUCAUUCCCUCCGGAAGAGAGUUUAGUGACCACUGCUGACCUCUGCCCCGGCCUUGGACUGGAAGCAAUGGUGUGCCUGUCAGGAAGGAAGCUUGGGGUCAGAUUUCACAGCUACAGUAUUAUCUUCAUGGCUUGCAAGAUGGAUGUUCCUAAAACACACACACACACACACACACACACACACACACACCCCACCACCACCAAAUAAAAAACCAAACAACUUUACUGUCUGAAUACCUUUUAAGUCAUGUCCAACCCUCUUUCAAGAUAGGAAUUUAAUACUUACUGAUCGGCAUGGAGUAGAACUCCAGACCUCAGCUUCCUGCGCGAGUCAAGUGGCUAAAUCAUCCGCCAUUUCUAAGGC